CCUGGGGUGGGGUGGGGAGCAGAGAAAGGGUGUCAUGGGGCCACAGGAGCCCUUCACGUCACAGACCUCUGAUCUUCACAUAUUAGGUAAAUAUUAUAUACACAUUAACACAUUUUAAUAUAAUACAUGCAUAAAAAAAGAGAAAAUAGCAUGACCCAAUUUACAUACCACCAGAUUUUAAAUCUUUAUAUUUUGCUAAAGUUCUUUUAGGCUCACAGACCACUGCUUGGAAUCUGUGGGUAUUCUUACAAAGCGGAUCAUGGUGUGAUAUCCAUAUAUUUUCAAUUUACCUAAAGGUACUGUGUUAUGCAUCCCAUCCUUCCUUCACUCCUCAGUGCUGUUUGUAAGAUCCAUCCGUGUGGCCACCUGUAUACAACCAACCUUUGCUUCUAACUGCCACCUGCACUCUGGGGUGGGAUCGAACACUUCUACUGACCCUUCUUCCAGGAAGGAACAUUGAUGCUACCUCGAACCACCAUGGAUAUGAAUGAUGGCAUCUACAUAUGUCCCCUGAGAGGCCUGUGUGAGGGUUUCUUUGGGGUGUACCCCCAGAGCAGCAUUGACGGCCCCAGUGCCGAGUGACCCUGACUGGUUGCAUUGGGCCAUCUUCCACUGUGCGGUCAGGAGACCCCACCUCACCACACUGGGCUUCAGCCAGCCUCCAAAUGACACUGGUCUCAGUUCCUUCUCAGCCAACCACUUGAAGUGCCUAUGGUCCAGGACAUCAGAAGCCAAAAAGAAAAAAUUGCAAAAGAGCUUCUCUCCUAGGGAUGCCUGCGUGGCUCAGUCAGUUAAGCGUCUGACUUUGGCUCAGGUCAUGAUGUCACAGCCAAUUUGGAAGACAGAAGCAAAGGAAAGUCACAAAAGCCAGUUUUGUCACCCUGAGUCCUGCUAACUAGCUGACAGCCUCUGGCACACGCUGAUCUGGGGAUGUAGAGGAGGCCACAGGAGUGCCCAGGAGCCUGAAGAUGGGACAGAGAAAAUGGCGAAACCAGAGUAUGCGGGGUAGAGCUUGAUCAAUAGUUAAGGUCGGUUUGAUUUUCACUUUUACAGUUAUCUGUUUUCAAAUGCUCUGAAAAUACGUUCUAGGAACAUUUAUAGCCAUUGUGGCUUCUUGACACUGUGGUGUUCAGAAUAAUCCCAAGUGCCUCUGCCAGCUGAGAGACACACACACAACUAUGGGACAAAACAGAGUAGUAAUUUGAGCAAAAAGCCCAAACCAGGAGCUCUGAAAUGGCAACCUACCAUUUGUUUAGAAUUUAUAAGCUGCAAGCUAAGUUAGUCUUGAGUCCCACCUUAACUUCAUACCUCUCACCACCUGUGCGUAAUCUUGUUCCACAGAUCCUGUUUUCUCAACUAUCAAUCUACCCCUCAUAAAAUCGGCGUCAUCAGUUAACACAAAACCCAGAGUGUGGCUUUCAGACCCAAAGUCCCUACUCUGAUCUUACUUCAAUGGAAAAAGCUGUUUCGCACUCUUCUUUGAAGACCUGUCAAACGCCCUUCCAGCACCAAACGAGCUACAAAGGGGAAACCCACUCCUCUGUGCCUCAGAUUCCUUAUUUGUAAAAGGAGGAAAAAUAGCUCAACUAACGCGAACUUUUUUUUUUCCCCCUUCUGGAUCUCUACGUCCCUGGAUCCUUCCCAGUGCACAACUCUGAGAGACGUUCUGUAGAAACCCGUCAAGCCUAAGCCGAGCUGUGUUGGUCUUGACAGAGGAGGACACAACCAAGUGAGACAGAUCUGUGAGACUGCGGUUUUUUUCCAGUGACUUACCCUCGGGGUGGGGCGUGUGCCCACAAUUAGGUGGCCCAUCAAGUAUUGAACACCGGCUCUUCGCAACUCUGACCCUCGACACAGAUUUGUACUGGUCUAACUUCCAAGAUGGGGGAGAAGUUCUGCUGCAUCCAAACUGAUGGAUAAAUGACGCUGAAACUCAAUGUGAACUUUGCCUAGUGACUGAUAACGCGCCUCGGGGCCUCAUUCAAUUUUACAUACAGCACUUUGAUGUUAACAUUCCAAAGCACGGCCCUCACUACUCUCACUCUCUCUCUUUCUCUCUCUUUUUUUGAGUAGGCUUCAGGCCCAGUGGAGGCCAACACGGGACUUGAAUUCACAGCCCAGAGAUCAAGACCCCAGCUGAGAUCAACAGCUGCUUAACUGAGCCACCCAGGUGCCCCAUUCUAUCAUUUUCAAAUUAGGAUGGCGCUCUCUGCAGCAGAUGUUAAACUGACAAAGCAAGAUGGUAGAAAAUGAGGUCAAAUUCUUGGCGAGUUCUUCAGAAAAGACCUUCACAUGUGGUCUUUGCAACUGACGGUGCUAGAAAGGUCAGUGCCUUUAGAGAUGCCAAGUGAUGCAGCCUUCACAAUGAGGAAUUUAAAUACGGAGGCUCCGCCCACCACCUGUGGCCAGGCAGCUGUCAUUUUCUAACUGGAUGUUAAUCAGAGACAGAGCAUGAACGGGGGAGGAUCAGAGAGAGAGGGAGACACAGAAUCUGAAACAGGC